GAUGAACGCUGGCGGCGUGCAUAACACAUUCAAGUCGAACGGUGACGAGGACUUCGGUCCUCUGAUCAGUGGCGGACGGGUGAGUAACGCGUGAGCAACCCGCCUAUCAGAGGGGGAUAACAGUUGGAAACGGCUGCUAAUACCGCAUGACACAUUGAUAUCGCAUGGUAUUAAUGUCAAAGAGAAAUCGCUGAUAGAUGGGCUCGCGUCUGAUUAGAUAGUUGGCAGGGUAACGGCCCACCAAGGCGACGAUAGCUAUCCGGCCUGAGAGGGUGAACGGACACAUUGGGACUGAGAUACGGCCCAGACUCCUACGGGAGGCAGCAGCUAAGAAUAUUCCGCAAUGGGGGAAACCCUGACGGAGCGACGCCGCGUGGAUGAUGAAGGCCGGAAGGUUGUAAACUUCUUUUACCAGGGACGAACAAAUGACGGUACCUGGAGAAAAAGCAACGGCUAACUACGUG
rnacentral:rRNA from 1 species